rnacentral:rRNA from 1 species
ACCAAACAUUUAGGGCUACUUUGAUGGAAAUAACACGGUGGGUGGUGGUGCAUGGCCGUCCUUAGCUGCUGGAGCGACUAGCCUAGUUAAUUCCAAUAACAAAGGAGACUAGCCUAUUAAAUAGGUGCGUGAAUCUCUGAAACGUUCAAACUCUUUAAAGGAACAAGGGGCUCCUAGCCGCACGAAACAGGGCAAUAACAAGUAUGUGAUGCCCUUAGAUGU